rnacentral:lncRNA from 1 species
GGAGAUGAAAUCAUAAACUCGGACGAGUAAUUUAAUCAAACAUCCUUAAUUUUGUUAAUGGGCUAUAAGGCUAUCGAAUAAAGAGCUACCCACUUUCUUUCAAGUCUACUUUGUCGUGCCACAUCCAGCAUAUCGACGGUGAAACUACCAGAGCACGUACUUCGGUUUGCGCCGUUGCAGAUUUCCUGUCAUACUUCAUCAUUUAAAUGGAAAACUACUCAGCGUCUAUUCCUGAGAACUUCCGUGACUUUUCCUCUCUAGGCGAAGAAAAGUCUGUGUAAACUUCAAGGAAUGAUUUGAUUCUUUCUUUCUCAAGAAAUUUAAUGGGACCGGAGAAGUUUAAACUCCGCAAACGAGAUAUGUGGUCAGGUAGUUUCACCAUUGAUAUCUAUAAAAAACUAACGACCGAAGUGAUGGCUGCAAUAUAAAAUCCCUUCGCUGAUAAAAGUUUGACAGUCUAAGGUCUUCCAAUUACAUGUUCAAGUAUGUAUUAUAAUUGCAGAUUUACAUCAUUGUAACGGAAUUACGUUGACUUUACAGGUGAAAAUUGUCGAUAGAGCUGGAAAAAUGGUACCGUUUGGUUCAUCGGGGAACUCUGGUGCAGAGGAUAUGUGAAAAUGCUGGGUUACUACAAUCAGGACUCUAAAACAGCGGAAAUGAUCGGGAAAGAUGCAUGGAUAAAAACUGGAGAUGAAGCGCUCUUAUCUGAAGACGGUUACGCACAAAUUGUCGGCAGAAUCAAAGAUUUAAUAAUAAGAGGUGGUGAAAUAUAUCUCCGAAAGAGGUCGAAGAUUUGUUACAAGCUCAUCCAGAUAUUUUUGAGGCACAGGUGUUUGGGGUCACAGAUGAACGACUAGGCGAAGUUGUUGGAGCAGCGCUAAUACUAAGGCCAGGAAAAUCAAUUACAGCGGAUGAAGUAAAAACCUUUUGUAAAGGAAAGUAAGUGCAUUUAAGAUUUGUUUCAUGCUUUCGAGUAUUUUUACGUACAAAAUAUUAUUUGCAAUGAGACAAUUUCUAACAAUCUUUGCUCUCGUC